rnacentral:lncRNA from 1 species
CCCCCACUGUGGUACAAGGGAGCCCACACACAGCUGGCCCCCCACUGUGGUGCACGGGAGCCCACACACAGCUGGCCCCCACUGUGGUGCACGGGAGCCCACACACAGCUGGCCCCCACUGUGGUGCACGGGAGCCCACACACAGCUGGCCCCCACUGUGGUGCACGGGAGCCCACACACAGCUGGCCCCCACUGUGGUGCACGGGAGCCCACACACAGCUGGCCUCCACUGUGGUGCACGGGAGCCCACACACUGGACGUACAGACUCCAUCCAGUCCUGCAGCACUUACAGGCUGGUAACUUUACCUCCUGAGCCUGUUUCUUCACCAGUGAAGCCACUGUCCUGCAAUGAAGAACUCCUGGAGGUCCUCUUUGACAGGAGACAAGGCAUUCUAACCCGGCACCCAGCAAAGGCUAGCAAACCCAUAGAUGGGCUGAGAACCCUGGAGUUUUCUCCCAGGGUCUUCCUCUCCCAAAUGACAGCUCACCUCGUUCACAUCAUGGCUGCGCAUGCACUGAAGUUGCUGGCACCGCAUAGACCUUCACCACCCACGAGAGGAGGAAUGCUUGGCAAUGUGGUCUGCAGUCGCCCCUGCCUGGUCCAGAUUGCCUGUGGAAUUCUGCUGCUCCCAGAAGCAGGUCUGCCCGAGGUCCUAAGGCCCCACCCAUGGCAGGUGUAGCUUCUGCAUGCUGUUCUGUGCUGAGUAGACCGGUCUUAUGGUAUGGUCAUAGGGUCCCACACCUCAGGGUCAGGGCCACUCAGGCUUGUCUCCGCCCCCAGAGAAGCCAUUCCCCACUAGAGAGAAGCUUGAGCCUAUUGUCACUUGCUCCCCCUACUAUGACAAUCAAGCCAGCUUGGGACUUUGCAUUGCAGACAGCCCUCCAGAUAGCCCAAAGAGGGACCUUCCUCCAGCCUGGGCUCAGCAAGUGGGUGCCAGGACGAGAGAGGGGUUAGACCUGGGAAACAUGACUUUCAAACCGUACACUGCUAGGACUGUGCACCUACCCGCCGAUAAAACCCAACAUGUACAUGGCAGUUUACAGAUUGUGAGGCUCUGUGGGACAUGUGUACAAUUACUGCAUAUAAAAUAUUCACCAAAAAGCCGGGUGUGGCAGCUCAUGCCUGUAAUCUUAACACUUGGGAGUCUGAGGCCAGACUGCUGUGAGUUCUAGGUCAACUUGGUCUCCAUAAUAUAGUCUCCACAGUACAUACCAGGCCAACUAGUGCAAGACUCUAUCUCAAAGAAACAAGCAAAACAAAAGCCGUGUACCUCGGCCUUGCACAGCUCAAGGGAUUGAGCUAAGUGGGGUAGCCAGGGGAUGAAGAAACGAUAAACACAGACAGACACACAGACGCAGAAAAGUUGGGAUCCAGUGGACUGGGCUCUGGUGGAGAAGGCAUAGCACCCAGAAGCUUGGCUUUUAACUGUAGACAAUCGAACAGGGAGGCGGGGUUAUUGUCUACACAUGAACAGGGAGGCGGGGUUAUCACAAACAGCUGAACGGGGAGGCGGGGUUAUCACACACAGCUGACCAGGGAGGCGGGGUUAUCACAUACAGCUGAACAGGGAGGCGGGGUUAUCACACACAGCUGAACGGGGAGGCGGGGUUAUCACAUACAGCUGACCAGGGAGGCGGGGUUAUCACACACAGCUGAACAGGGAGGCGGGGUUAUCACACACAGCUGAACAGGGAGGCGGGGUUAUCACAUACAGCUGAACAGGGAGGCGGGGUUAUCACACACAGCUGAACGGGGAGGCGGGGUUAUCACAAACAGCUGAACAGGGAGGCGGGGUUAUCACAUACAGCUGACCAGGGAGGCGGGGUUAUCACACACAGCUGAACGGGGAGGCGGGGUUAUCACACACAGCUGAACGGGGAGGCGGGGUUAUCACAUACAGCUGAACGGGGAGGCGGGGUUAUCACACACAGCUGAACGGGGAGGCGGGGUUAUCGCACACAGCUGAACGGGGAGGCGGGGUUAUCACAUACAGCUGAACGGGGAGGCGGGGUUAUCACAUACAGCUGACCAGGGAGGCGGGGUUAUCGCAUACAGCUGACCAGGGAGGCGGGGUUAACUAAUUUCUGUAGGGAGUGGUCUUCAGGCUGUAAACGUGGCGGCUGAGAGAGUUAUGGUGGGUAUUUUCUGCACACACUGUCAACAUUCACACUCGGUCCCUAGGUAGGCUUUACUGUCCCUCGUGCUGGGGGAGGUUUUGCCAUUCCCAUGGGACUGAGGCAUUGGUCCUUGACACAGCUGUCCCCGUGUGCCCAACAAGCACAUUCACACGCUCCUACAGCCACGAGUGGCGGUGUGCCUCCAGCAUAUGAGGUGAAGACAGAAGGGUAAGAGACUGCUAGUUACACAGUUCGAGGCUGGUCUGGGGUAUAUAACACCCUGUCUCUACCCUCCCAAUACAAAAUAACACUAUGAAUAAAAAGGCAUUAGGAUUAGCAUUAAGGAGAGUGUGACUGGGCUGGAAUGACGGCUCAUCGGUUGAGAAUAUGGCUUAAAUGUGAAGUGCAGAAUCCUGUCCAGCCCCUGGUCAUUCUGCAAUCCCACCUGGAGAACAAUGCUGAGGAAAUGCCCUGGGGACUCCAACUGUGCAGAGUCUUGAUGCCUUCUGCUUGGGCCCAUCUGCCAGCUCAAACUCCAAUCUCCUUCUUCCCAGAGAUCCCCAGACUCUGCCACUGCGACAAAUGUCACUGCUGAUGGAUCCAGGGACCAAGAGGGAGGCUUAAGGUGGCCACUGUCCAUCUUCUGCCAGACUGCCAGAGGAAGAGAGGUGACAGCUGUCUGUGGAAGGGGAUGAACAGUAUCAAAAUAGGGUCUUUGGGGACAGAUAACAAAGGGUUGGCUCCUUCUAAUACCAAAGAGUAAAGGCCAGCAUAUGGCAGUUCAAGCUCUGGC